UCGGGGCUUAAAUGCAAGUCGAGCGGAGAGAUGUAGCUUGCUACUGAUCUUAGCGGCGGACGGGUGAGUAAUGCUUAGGAAUCUGCCUAUUAGUGGGGGACAACAUUCCGAAAGGAAUGCUAAUACCGCAUACGCCCUACGGGGGAAAGCAGGGGAUCAUUAGACCUUGCGCUAAUAGAUGAGCCUAAGUCGGAUUAGCUAGUUGGUGGGGUAAAGGCCUACCAAGGCGACGAUCUGUAGCGGGUCUGAGAGGAUGAUCCGCCACACUGGGACUGAGACACGGCCCAGACUCCUACGGGAGGCAGCAGUGGGGAAUAUUGGACAAUGGGGGGAACCCUGAUCCAGCCAUGCCGCGUGUGUGAAGAAGGCCUUUUGGUUGUAAAGCACUUUAAGCGAGGAGGAGGCUACUCUGGUUAAUACCCAGGGAUAGUGGACGUUACUCGCAGAAUAAGCACCGGCUAACUCUGUGCCAGCAGCCGCGGUAAUACAGAGGGUGCGAGCGUUAAUCGGAUUUACUGGGCGUAAAGCGUACGUAGGCGGCUUUUUAAGUCGGAUGUGAAAUCCCUGAGCUUAACUUAGGAAUUGCAUUCGAUACUGGGAAGCUAGAGUAUGGGAGAGGAUGGUAGAAUUCCAGGUGUAGCGGUGAAAUGCGUAGAGAUCUGGAGGAAUACCGAUGGCGAAGGCAGCCAUCUGGCCUAAUACUGACGCUGAGGUACGAAAGCAUGGGGAGCAAACAGGAUUAGAUACCCUGGUAGUCCAUGCCGUAACGAUGUCUACUAGCCGUUGGGGCCUUUGAGGCUUUAGUGGCGCAGCUAACGCGAUAAGUAGACCGCCUGGGGAGUACGGUCGCAAGACUAAAACUCAAAUGAAUUGACGGGGGCCCGCACAAGCGGUGGAGCAUGUGGUUUAAUUCGAUGCAACGCGAAGAACCUUACCUGGUCUUGACAUAGUAAGAACUUUCCAGAGAUGGAUUGGUGCCUUCGGGAACUUACAUACAGGUGUCUUUAGUGGUUUUUUUGACUCGUGUCGUGAGAUGUUGGGUUAAGUCCCGCAACGAGCGCAACCCUUUUCCUUAUUUGCCAGCACUUCGGGUGGGAACUUUAAGGAUACUGCCAGUGACAAACUGGAGGAAGGCGGGGACGACGUCAAGUCAUCAUGGCCCUUACGACCAGGGCUACACACGUGCUACAAUGGUCGGUACAAAGGGUUGCUACCUAGCGAUAGGAUGCUAAUCUCAAAAAGCCGAUCGUAGUCCGGAUUGGAGUCUGCAACUCGACUCCAUGAAGUCGGAAUCGCUAGUAAUCGCGGAUCAGAAUGCCGCGGUGAAUACGUUCCCGGGCCUUGUACACACCGCCCGUCACACCAUGGGAGUUUGUUGCACCAGAAGUAGGUAGUCUAACCGUAAGGAGGACGCUUACUCACCUCCCCAU
rnacentral:rRNA from 1 species